rnacentral:piRNA from 1 species
AGGAGGAGUUACCUAUGGUGAGCUGG